UUGUACUUAUUCCUGUUAACAUUUCAUGUGCCUCAAAGAGUAAUUACAGAUAACGAGAAAAUCUAGGUACCAAGGAUUGUGCCUAUUACUGAGUGACGAAUGGAGGGUGCUUGAAAGGUGUCAUGGGGAUUAAUCACCCAGGACUGGCACUGCCUGCUCGUACACAGCUCAAGGAGGCAUGGUGUGAGCAUGGUAGACGCCAUCGCGAGAGGUAGAAAGACCACUUCUGACCACAAGAACAGGUGAACGUGGAGGCCCUGGGAUGGGCAGCAGCUGACUCCUUGGAAGAACUGCAAACAUACCAGAAUGAUUGAAGGAAGGGGAACAAGGCAGUGGUGGCUGGAGCCGUGAGCUGGAGCUGGAGCCGGCCUCCUAACGCAUUCCCCUGACACUCCUCUCCUAAGCAUGUCUGUCUGCUGGCUUCUGAGAGCAAAAGUCCCUUUUAAAAAAAUUUCUGAAGCUGACUUGAAGCAGGAAGAAUGUCUUCUGAUUUGGCCAAAAAUAUGCUCAAGAACGGUACAGUGCUGCACCUUUUUACAGAGUUGACAGAUAAAGAGGGAAUGGGGUCUUCCAGCAGCAGUCCUUUGAGAUGAAGGUGUACUCAGCCUCAAAGAAGAAGUGGCAGAAGAGCACAAGAUAGCUGAGGUACAUGAGUGAGGACCAGAAGAUGUUCUGAAAGUGAGAGUGACACUGGUCAUGCUGCAUCCAGUGGAAGACCAGGUAGUUAACGACACAGCCCAUCAGCAUCUGAGUGAUCUGGGACAAGGUGAUGAACAUGGCAAACUUCCGGGAGACUCGGAAACCCGCUGCUCGCAAGGCAUAGUAAGAGUACAUCACGGAGUGCACGCCAUAGUUCAUAGUCAUGAACCAACCACCCCCGGCAACCAUGUCCUUGUAGGAGUACCAGGAGUACAGGAGCACAGUGAUGUGGUGGUACCAGUGCAGGAAGAUCAGCUUCUGCUUCCUCAGAAUGAUGAAUAUUGUAUCUCCUGAAAGACAAAGAAAAAAAUGGACAUGAGCCCCUUGACCAUAAAAUAAUCAUAAUCUAUAUCUCUGCAAGAAGGUAGAUGUCUUGAACUGGUACUUCAGAAUGAGAUGGACUGGGUUAGAAUCCUGACUGAUAUUUACUAGCUCAGUGACCCUGGGCAAGUUAUUUAUCCUCACUAUAUUCCCAUUUCGUCAUCUGUAAAAUGGGGAUGAUAAUAGCUUGAAAUUAUCUGAGGGUUAAAUAGGAUACUCAACAUGCCCUCUUGGCACAUGGUAAGCACUCAAUAAAUGUUACUUUCAGAAA